rnacentral:sRNA from 1 species
CCUUCGCCCACUUAGGACAAUUGCCUCGG